rnacentral:rRNA from 1 species
UACGGGGGGAGCAAGCGUUGUUCGGAUUUACUGGGCGUAAAGGGCGCGUAGGCGGCCACCGCAAGUCAGUUGUGAAAUCUCUGGGCUUAACCCAGAACGGUCAGCUGAUACUGCGGGGCUAGAGUGCAGAAGGGGCAACUGGAAUUCUCGGUGUAGCGGUGAAAUGCGUAGAUAUCGAGAGGAACACCUGCGGCGAAGGCGGGUUGCUGGGCUGACACUGACGCUGACAGCGCGAAAGCAGUAGGGAGCGAACGGG